rnacentral:lncRNA from 1 species
AAAAAAAAAAAAGAAGGAUUAACCACAUUUUUAAGAGAACAUGUUCCAGCUUGAAUCACUUUGAUGAAUCUGAACCGACACACCAAACCGAGAAAAUGCGUUGCAGUCCCACACGACCCAUUCCAGGCGAGAGUCAUGAGAGUUCAAAUCUAAGGUAACAUUCGAACCCUGGGUCAAUUCGUAAGCAAAGUUAGAUUCAUGUUAAACUUUACCGGUUAAUUCGUGUUGAAGUUAGAUGAAUUUAGCAGAGAGGAAUGGGUUGGAUGACACAGGAUGAUGCAGUGUAAAUAAAAGAUUUUAUAUUACAAAAUUUUCACUUAUUUUUUUUUUAUAAAAAGUUAUGCAUGUUUACUUUCUUUCAGAAUAAAUUUUAUUUAUGUAAAUAGAAACUUGAAUUUUUGUCAAAUCGAAUGGUAUUUGUAAUCUUAGAUGUGCAUCUCAACCACUUUUUUUGUUUUGCUUGUUGCACAUACAUAAUAGUAUCAUAAAAGUCACAACAUAAAAAACAAAAAUAAAACAUGCAAUCCAAACAGAUUCUGUCAAAGUUCUAAAUCUAGUAAUCCUAAUGGACAACUAUUGCAAGUAAAACCCUUUUCUUUAAUAAAUAACUCAAAGAAAGUAUCAUAUAUGUGUGUUUGGAUUGAGAUGAUUUGAAAUAAAAUAAUUUGUUUCAUAAAUUUCAAUUACUUUUAUAUCUUUUUAAUUUUUUUUAUUUCACAUACAUCACAUCACAAACAAAUGCUACAGUAAUUUUUUAAAAUAAAUCAUCCAAAUAAACUCCUAUCCAAACAAAAUUGUACCAAGAAAUAAUUAUUAUCUUUGCGUAUUAAUUUUUUUUGAGAAAAGUUAAAUUGAUUUGAAAAAAAUCUAAAUACAAAGAAUGCAGUAAUAAAUAUGAAAGUGUGCAUUUACAUAGUAAGUGAGAUGUAAUUUAAUUGUACAUGUAAGGGCCUUGCAGCAGUCAUCAAAAGUAUCUCUGAAGAAAUGGAAAGGAAAUUAAUAGGAAAUUGAGUGGAAGUUGAAGAAGAGAAGACAAUGAAGUCAGCUGCCUCCAACCUCCAGGGUUUGCGGAUAAGAAUGGAUGAGAAAACCAGAGGUCCAGUACAAAGGGCGCCCACAGCCCCACUCUAAACCAGUGUACGGAUUCCACAAAACCGGGAGUUGUCCAUGACUUUUCCCCACCAACGCCUUCACACGCGCCUACUCCGUCCACCUUUUACUCCCACAGAUAAGAAAGGAGCAAGCCAAAGCAAAGUGUCUUUUGUUAUUAGUUAUUACUACUAUAUUAGUGGUUGAACUACAAGUGAUUUGUUUUAUAGGUGGUCACAGAGGAUAUUUGUUGUUGCAUUAGAUCAAAAUUGAAGUUGUUAUGCAGUUGAUUAUAUAUGUGUUUAAUAAAUUGGUCAAAUAUUUUUGCCAAUUUGACAAGAAA